rnacentral:lncRNA from 1 species
UCUACGACCUCCUCUACGUACUUCUUCCCUUGGCGGCAUAAUUCCUAUUACCACCAACAACACUCUUUAACAAAAUCUUAAUCAUAAACAUAAGCAAGUCUUUAUCGUCAUGCAAUCUAGUUUAAUUUAGGCAAGGUCAUGCAAAUAAACCAUACAUAUAAGCAUCAAGCAUACCUGACGAGAGACGAAGGGUCGCGUUAGCCAUAGGAACACAAAAACAUAGACUUACAUCGUAAGUCAGUCUACAGAACCUAAAACUUAGGCUCUGAUACCAACUGUAACGACCCAACUUUUCUAGGUAAGUCGAGGUCAUUAAUUUUUAAUAAAAGACUUUAUUGAUACAAAAUGAAACGUAAGUCAAUUUAAAACAAUCUAUGUCAGGCCUGAUUUUCAAAUAUUCAAGAAAACUUAAAAAUAACACUAUUUACAAAUAAAAGUUUGUAAACUAAGUUUUAGUACAUCUUAAACCUUAAAAGAAACCAUAAGCGGAAGCAAAAUGACACAGUUCCUAUGGAAUCACGCUUCCUUCCUCCCCCUCGCCGGUUUGCCACCUUUAUUUCCUUUGCCUGAAAAUUAAACAUAAGAAGGGUGAGUAUAACAAUACUCAGUAAGAGACCCUUACUGUCUCCGUCAGGGAAAAAUAAUUGUUAAAGUUCUAUUGGGACACCCUGUACAGUCGCAGUCUUGUGAUCGCGUAGGAUACACAUUUCAGUCUAACGCCCCGAAGGACGUACAUAUCAGUCUAACGCCCCGAGGGACGUACAUAUCAGUCUAACGCCCCGAGGACGUACAUAUCAGUCUAACGCCCGAGGGACGUUCAUAUCAGUCUAGUGUUCUGCAGAAACACAUAUCAGUCAAAUGCUCCCGAAGGUGCAAAAUAAAUUGGUGAUCCUGGGACACCUACAAGGUAAACAUCCCAAUACACAACCUAACAAUUUAUCCCUCAUUCCAUUCAACCCAUCUUUCAGUUACUUCAAAUCACAAAGUCCUUUCUUCAACAUCCUAACAGUCAACUUAUUUUACUACAAUCAUAUGUCUGUCAAUAAUAUGCUAAUACAUCAGUCAAUUCACUAUACAGUCAAGUCAAUACACCCCUCAGUUCACCAGCACAAACCACAGUUCAGUAUAAUCCACAUCCACACCGAACAAAUUCACUAGUUCACAUCCAAUCUUUAUACAGCACAAUCUAUUAAUAUCAUCAUGUACACUAAGCAUAAUUUCAGUCAUUCACAUGUAUACUUUCGCAAUCCACAUCAAUUCACACAUCAAUGUAUAUAUAUAUGUUUCCAGUCAAAUACAACAUACACUAAACAUUUAGUCUGCAAUCAAACAUGUACAUCUUAAUCAUCAUCCAUACAGUCCAACACAACUCAAAAACUUUAGGUGAGUCCAGUAGAAAAUCCCUUACCUCACUUUUAUGCAGUUCUUCAAUCUACUAAAUCCAAUGAAUCAAAUCCUAACAUAAUCAAUCAUAAAAUCAACAUCUUCUAAAUAGUUUCAACCAUUCAAAUUACCCCAUAUGUAAAUUCACAACUUACCCAAGAAGUGAGAGAAUCAAGUCCACUUCAACCUUUUGGAAAAUCAAGGAUUCGCUCACUGAAUCAAGAUGUACCUUCAAGAAUUAAGCAUUUCGCCAACAAUUAAAUCCAAUGGCAGCAUCCAACAAAAACCAAGAAACCAACAAAAACCAUAACUUGUUCUUACCCAAAUAUGAGCCCAAUGGUUCACGACGAGGCAGAUCUGGACGACGAUUUGCUUUCCGAGGAGGCACGACGGUUGUGAGCGAAGAGGCACGGCAGUUACAGGCAGAUGGCGCGCGACGGUUUAGAUCUGAAGAAGAAAGAGAGGGUGGCAGUUGGGUUCGGCGAGCGGCGGCGGUUUUGCUUCGCGAACGGAGAUGGAGACGGCAGUUCGGCGCGCGGGACGAUGCAACGCAAAUCUGGACUGGCAGCGGCACGGUCUUGCUUCGCGGCUGGGUAUGGUGAAAAAGAAAGAGAAACGGAAGAAGAGAAGUCUCGGUGCGGUUGCUGGGCUACGGGCGGUUGCUGGGCUGCGGCGGAAGGAGAAAAUGGAAGGAAGAGAUCGGCGGAAAGAAGGAGAAGAUGGAUGGAGUCAGAUCGCACGGGGAAGAAGAAGGGAGAAAGAAAAGAAAAAGAAAAAGAAGAAAAAAAAAUAAUAAAGAAAUUUUAAUACUAAAGUAAAAUAAAAAUAUAUAUAUAUAAUAUAUAAUAUAUAUAUAUAUAUUUACCUUUCUUUGGGCAUUACAUUUUUUUUUUAAUUUUAGCAAAUAACAUUUUUUGCACGUGCAUAAUAUUUAUAAAAUACCAAAAUAUCCACAUUCUCCAACUAAAAUUAUUUUGUUUCUAUGUUGUAAUUAAUUUAUAUUAUGCAUUUAUCAACUUUUAAUUAUUUUUUACCUGAAAAAAGAUACAUAAACUCAUAUAUAUACUUUUUUCUUAAUAUCUCGGGACUCAACUAAUGGAUUCAAGACUUUAACUUUAUUUAAUCUUACUAAUUUCAAAAUAACCUAAUUGAAUUUGAAUUUCAAAAUAACCAAAUUGAAUUUCAACAUAACAAAAUUAUUAUUUUUCAAAUUUGAUAAUCUCAGAAAUAGAUUUUGUAUCAAAAUAACUUUAAUUGAAUUUCAAAAUUAAAAAAUAUCAACUUAUUCACUCUUUAUCUCACAAUAAUAUUAAUGGCUUGAAUAUCAAGAUAAUUAAAUUAUUGUUUUUAAAAUUGGGAGAAACUCAACAUUAAAAAAUAUCAACUUAUUCACACACAAUCACACGCGCACACACAUACAUACACUUGCACGCACGUGCACCCAUACACGCACACACACACGCGUGCACACACACACACACACACAAACGCACACAUGCACACGCACACCAAACCGCACGCACACAAAUACACACACACACGCACACUAAUGGUUCAAUUUCAUCGAUUGUUCCUAUUUUUCUGACAGUUUAUUUUUGCCAUCGAUAGAGGAUCUUCCGACAGACCUGCGUGACGGUGUGUGUUGACAGCUUAAUUUCGUUGGCAAAAGAAAAGUCGAUUAGUUUUUGAAGAUUUACUGACGAUAUUUGUCAUCGACAAAGGGUAAAUUUCUUGUAGUGCAUGUACAUCAAACAUAUCAAAUUUGUUAAGUGUACCAAUGAAGUAUAAGAAGUUUAUUAGUGGUGUAUCAAGCGUAUCAAACUUAUAAGUGAAGUCUUUAAGUGUAUCAAACUAAUCAAGUGUAUCAAGGUCUCAGGGUAUCAAGUGUAUCAAGAAGAAUCAAGUGUAACGAGAAGUAUUAUGUGGAACGAGAAGUAUUAUGUGUAUGAAGAUGUUUCAGGUGUGUAUCAAAAAGUAUCGAGUGUAUCAAUGAGUACCGAGUGCAUGAAUUGUAUCUAUCAAAUGUAUCAAGUGUAUCAGUAAGAAAUAUCAAGUGUAUCAAGCGGUAUUAGGUGUAUCAGACGUGUAUAAGGUGUAUCAAAUGUACAUCAAUAACGAGGGCAUUUGUGACAUUUUACCUCUUGAUGUGUGAGUUGGUCUUUGUUUUUGUCAUUUUCUCAAAUAAUAAAGUAUGUGUUCUAUGAACUUAAUUAUUAUAACUUACACUACUACAAAAACAGGCUCUCUUGACGUUUGCAGUUUUCCUUUCUUGACGUUUUUUUCAAAAAACGUCAAGAAAGAUUUCAUUUUUAAUAAAAAACGUCAAGAAAUUUUUUGAAACAUCAUUCUUGACGUUUAUUAAAUGUCAAGUAAAAUAAAUUUUUCUUUGACGUUUUUAAAACAUCAAGAAAUAUCUAUUAAUUUUUUGACGUUUUAAAACGUCAAGAAGCGUAUGAAUUCGACAUGCUUGACGUUUCUUAAACGUCAAGAAUUUAAAAUUUUACUCGACGUUUUAAAAACGUCAAGAAAUUCAUAAAAUAUUCAAGAAUAUUUUUUAAAUUACACUGAGAAGGUAUCGAAUUUUAAUUUUCAGCUCUAACAUUUUUCCUAAUCUACUUUUUUCUUCUUCACGACUGAGUAUUCGAGGGAGUCAUUUUUUGAAUUUGUUGACAUUUUUUAAACGUUAAGUAAGAUCAUUUUUUUUUUUACAUUUUAAAAAUGUCAAGUGUUAUUAAAUAAAUAUAAAAAAUAUAUUGGGCUAAUUUUAUUUCUUUAAAAUCUCUUUAAAUAUAUAGAUACAAUAAUAAAAAUCUCUUUAAAUAUAUAGAUACAACAAUAAAAAUUUCUUUAAAUAUAUAUAGAAAAAAAAUAUUGUACUAAUAUUAUUCAGAAUCACUUUAAAUAUAUAUAGAAAAAAUUAUUGUGCAAAUAUUAUUUUUUAAAAAGCCCUAGCCCCUUUCUACUCAAAACACGCGUGUUCCCCUUUCCCUCUCCAGCCGAAAUCCUUCCCAUUCGAAAAAAGUGUGUUCAGCAGUCGUCGUUCGCUUUCAACGCCUAUCCGUUCGCCUUCAACGUCUGUCCGUUCGAUUUCACCGUCGAGUUCCACCUCUUCGAAUCCCUCACGUCCGUCGUUUCAAAGUCCUUCGUCCGCUGCAUUCCAUCUUUCCAAAAUCCCUCAGUGCCUCACGCUACUGCGUGCCCGUCAUUUCGACUUCACCAACGAGUGCCUCACGUUCGUUGCUUCAAAAUCCAUCAUCCACUAAGUUGAGGUUAGGCUUUUAUUUCCCUAAAACAUAUAACAAUUUCAUUAUUCUUCAUUAUAUAAACUCAGAUGGCAUGAUUGGCAAUAAUAGAUAGGAAGGAUGGAGGUGUAAACUUCGAAUUGAUUGAAAUUCGUAUACUUUUAUUCAAUCUUUAAAGUACUGUAGUUUUUCUUCACCAUCAAAUUUUAUUAGGAUUUAAAGAAAACAAAUGAAUGUAUGAACAAAUUUUUGGGAGUGCAUGUCAUAUAAUCAACUUCCCUCUUUCAGUAAUUUUGAAGAUCUCAUAUAACAAUACUACUAAUUGAGAGCUUUGGAGGAUGAGUCAAUUCUUCUCCCUUCGUGAAAAGAAAAAGAAAAAAAGAUCAUGUAUUCUCUUUGUUUGUUACCUUAUGUUGUCCAAGGUUUUGCCUUCUUCCUUAAUAAUUUGGAGGUGUUUUAACUAAUUUUUUCAUUCACCCUCUUUUUGCCAUAGUUGCUUUUGUGUGCAGCUUGAGAUUUUUAAUUCAAUUGUGUGUUUUUACUUUUUUCUAUUGGGUGAAUUCUGUUUUGACUUUUUUUAAGCUAAAUAUAAUUAAUUGUUUCCUAUGGAACCAUAACCUUGAUCUUGGUUAUAGAUUUCAUUUUAAGGUAAAAGUAAAACACUCUUAUUUGAAUGAUUAUGUUGUAUUAUCCAUUGAAAGACUUGGUGUUGUAAUUGCCUUGUCUUCCUCAGGUAUUCUGUUGUAUGGUUGAUUACGAUCUUCAUGAUUGGAAUCUUUGUUUAGUGAAGCUCAUUUUGUUUGAUUUACUCAGUCGUGCAAUUGCUUUCUUUUUUAUGAUCACUUUAAAAAAGAAAUGAGUUUAGUUAGUUCUUUUAAUUUUCUUAAGUUUCAUUUGUAAUGCAUGAAAAUCUCUUAGCAGUAGAAACUGAAGACCAUAAUUGUAGAAGAUUUGUAUAGAUUGGAUUCACAUUCUCAACAUUGGUUAUACAGGCAUUACUUAUCAUUGUCCUUCCACUUUAAUUAUCAAUAGUGACAAUAACUUUAUUUCUCAUUAGAUUUACAAUGAUGGAUAAAUCUUGGAUGCACAAGAGUAGAUUGUCUAAAGAUUAUGAGUUGGGUGUGGAAAACUUCAUCAAAUUUGGAUUUUCUAAUACAACUAGCUCCUAUAUUCGUUGUCCUUGUUUGAAAUGUGGGAAUUGUGAAAAACAUAGUAGAAAGGGUGUUAGAGAUCACUUGUAUGUUAAUGGUAUUGAUGAAAGUUAUAAAUUUUGGUUUUGGCAUGGGGAAGAACUUCCUAACUCAUCCUUCUAUGAUGAAUCUUCAAAGUUUGACACCCAUACAUGUGAAGAUCAGGAUGUUGGAAGUGUAAAAGAAAUGAUUGAAGUUGCUCAUGAGGAGUAUUCAAAAGACCCAACUGGAUUUGAGAAGUUGCUUAUUGAUGCUGAAAAACCAUUGUACGAAGGAUGCAAAAAGUACACAAAGUUGUCUACUCUAGUCAAAUUGUAUAAUUUAAAAGUUAGGUAUGGAUAGAGUGAUACUAGUUUUUCAGAAUUACUUGAAACUUUGAAGGAAAUUCUGCCUAAUACCAAUGAGCUCCCGAAUUCAUUGUAUGAAGCAAAGAAAACAUUAGGUGCAUUAGGAAUGGAAUAUGAAAAGAUUCAUGCAUGCCCGAAUAAUUUUGUCUCUAUAGAAAAGAAUUUGCUAAUGCAAUUGAAUGUCAUGAAUGUUGUCAAUCAAGGUGGAAAAACGUCAAGGAUACAAAUGAAAGGAGAAAGCAAAUUCCCUCUAAAGUGAUAUGGUACUUUCCAAUCAUUCCACGAUUUAAAAGGCUAUUCAGAAGCAUUGAAUGUGCUGAAAACUUGACUUGGCAUUCUACUGAAAGAAUUAAUGAUGGUAAGUUACGACAUCCAGCCAGACUCUCCAGCAUGGAAGUUAGUAGACAUGAAAUGGCAAGACUUUGGUUCUGAACCCAUAAAUCUUCGUUUAGCAUUGUCAGCCGAUGGAGUAAAUCCUCAUGGUGACAUGAGUUCUAAAUACAGUUGUUGGCCGGUAGUGAUGGUUAUUUACAAUCUUCCACCAUGGUUGUGUAUGAAAAGAAAGUACAUGAUGCUAUCAAUGCUAAUUUCAGGACCAAAACAACCAGGGGAUGACAUAGGCAUAUACUUAGCACCACUAAUUGAAGAUUUAAAACUUUUAUGGGAAAGUGGUGUUGAAUGUUAUGAUGCUUAUCGAGAAGAACCAUUCAACUUAAGGUCAGUUUUGUUGUGGACAAUCAAUGAUUUUCCUGCAUAUGGUAACCUUAGUGGAUGUUGUGUGAAAGGGUAUAAAGCAUGCCCAAUUUGUGGAGAUAAUACAAAUUCUAUAAGGUUAAAGUAUGGGAAGAAAAUGGCAUACCUUGGACAUCGUAGAUUUUUGGCACGAAAUCAUCUGUAUCGACGACAAAAGAAGUCAUUCAAUGGUAAAAAAGAACUUGAUACAAUUCCAGAGCCACUUUAUGGGGAGGAUGUGUAUUUAAAAUUGAAAGAUCUUGAAUUUUCUAGAGGGAAGAAGAACCAUAAGAAACGGUUGAUGAACAGAAGUGACAAAAUUUGUUGGAAUAGAUUAUCUUCUUUUUUUGAGUUGCCAUACUGGAAGGAUCUUCAUGUUAGACAUUGUUUAGAUGUGAUGCACAUUGAAAAAAAUGUUUGCAUGAAUAUCUUAGGUACAUUUCUUGAUAUUCCUGGAAAAAGUAAGGAUGGAUUGAAUGCUAGACGCGAUUUAGUUGAUCUAAAACUUCGACCAGAGCUUGCCCCUAUCAGAAUAUGUUACUCCUACUAAUUACUUUCAUUAUGUAAAAAAGACAUCUAAACGUGAGGAUGAGAUUAUACUUGAGAAUAAAGAACUUCGAAGGCGUGUAAGCGAAUUAGAAGCACAUAACCACUCAAACUUGUCUAGACCAUUAUCUGGACAUGGUAGCUGUUCGAAGCCAAAUAUCUUAGAAGAGAGUGACUCGAUGAAAAUAAUCAAAGGGAAGAGUAAGUUGAUGGAUAAAAUCGAAGGGAAAGAGGUGGAGGAGAUCAAUGUAAAUGACGACAAAGUAGAGUUGGACAUCUUUAAGGUAUGUGAUCGAUCCUCUAAUAAACUCAAAUUCUUAAUAUUCAUAUCAUAUUGAAAGUGAAUGUUUUUCUUGAAUUAGGAGAGAGCCUUAAUAAAAAUGACUAAGGAAAAAGAGGUUGUCUGUGAAUCGACGUCAGUUUUGCCAAUGGGAAUGAAGUUGAUUCUCAUAUACGUUGAGAAGAUAAUGGAGAAAGAUUCUAGUAUCACUAUUCCACUACUGUUGGCAUUUUUGGUAUUAGUCGAAAGACUUCUGUUCUCCGAGAGGACAUCAUUGAUCUUUGUAACAUGAAUGAGGUCAAAACAUUUACAUUGGUGGCCUAUAUGACGUAAGUAUCAAUUUCAUUUCUUUAGAUCUAAAUUUAUGUAUCUCGUUUACAAGUUUAUAAUAUUUUGUAGGUACUUGUAUUCAUCUGUUCUUGGUUCGAAGGAAACUAUACAGUAUGUCUUUGUAGAUCCAUCCCUCACCUCUGUCGGACACUCGCAAGAAUCUCGAGUUCGACACUUAUGCAGUAGAUUGAUGGUCUCAAAGAUUAACGAAAUAGUUCUUGCUCCUUUUAAUCCUGGGUAAGUCAAGUUAUUUUAUUACUUGCAUUGCAAAAAACUAGUACUAAUAUUUUGUAUAAUUAGGGGUCAUUGGGCACUGCUGGCCAUAAAUGCAUAUGAUGAUAUAGUAUUUUACCUCGACUCACUAAGGACAACAUCGAAGUCAACUAUAAGAUACGUCACCGACACGUAAGUUAAUCUAGUAUUUCAUUUAGUGUUGAUUCUUAUAUGCAUGUACACAAUAUUUAAACUAUUUGUUCAAUCUUAUCUUGUCAAAACAGAGCAAUAGCGAUGUUUCAGUCACAAAAGAACAUUAAAAAAAGUAGAAAACAAACUUUAUGGCUAACAGUAAAGGUAAGUAUCAACUUUUAAAGUCAUUAAAUUUUUGUAGACUACUAGCAAUUAGGAUUACUUUGUUAUUCAAAUUUGUUGCUUUUAUAUAGUGUCCACUGCAAGGAAGUAUUGAGUGUGGAUACUAUGUGAUGAGGUAUAUGAGAGAAAUUGUGACUAGGGGAAGCAUUGUCAUAUCCGAUGCGGUAUGUUAUAUAUCAAACUAUUGGUUUUGUGAGUUAAUUGGUUUAUUUGUAUAGUCAGUUAAUUCAUUUAAUUUAUUUUGUAUGUUUAUUGAUUGAUACACGAAGAUCAUACUCACAGGCAGAACUACACGAGGUGCGAGUUGAGUUAGCUGACUUUUUGGGUUCUUACAUAUGAUUAUGACCAAUAUUUUGUGAUUCUGAAGUAGGAAAUUUUUUGUUGUGUCGCUUCUUUAUGACCCUAAACUUUAUGUAUAGAAACUUUAGCCGAUAAUUCUUUUGAAUUGUUCAUAUGGAGGAAGGGGGGAGGGGGGUUCAUUCGUAUAUAUUUUUAUUAUUGUUAUAGCUAGCAUGUUUUGUGACUUUUUAAGUUGAUUUGGAUUCAUGGCAAUGUAAUGCCAUAUGAAAUCUAAUGUAAAGCCUAUUUCAUUAUGUAUAUGUAAAGUCUUGGAAUUGAAUAUAUAUGGUGAAUGGUUUUAUUUAUAUAUGUUUGAGAUUUGAAACUAUAUUUGAUGAAUAUCAAAUAUCUAUGAAACUGUUGUGGACAAUUACAGGAUAAUUACAGGACAAUCAGAAUAUAUUUCUUUCCAUUACAGCAUAAUUCAAUUACAAUUUCUUUUUUUAAAAAAAAUUAAAAAAUGCUUGACGGUUUUAAAAUGUCACGAACAAUUGCAAGCUUGACGGUUUUAAACUGUCAUGAACAAUUGCAUUUUUACGGUUGACAAAUGUCAAAACAAUUACAUUCUUGACAGUUUUAAAAUGUCAUGAAUAGUAAAAUUCUUGACGGGUUUAAAAUGUCAUAAACCAGUUCAUCCUUGACGGCUUUAAAAUGUCAUAAACAAUACCAGUCCUGACGGUUCUAAAACGUCAUGAACAUAAGUAUAUUUGACGUUUAUAAAACGUCAACGUUCACUAUUCUUGACGUUUAAUCAACCGUCAAGAACUUUGCCUUUCUUGACGCUGGCUUCAACGACGUUUUUAAAACCGUCAAGAGAGCCGUCUCUUGAAGUUUAAAAACGUCAAGAGAGCCUGUUUUUGUAGUAGUGUUAUUUUGCCAUUUUCGCAAGUGUCCCUUAAUUGUAAUACAUGUAUAUGUGACAUAAUCUAAUCAAACUAACCAUAAAUGGACUUAAUGUAUCAGGUAUUAGGUGUAUCAGACGUGUAUAAGGUGUAUCAAAUGUACAUCAAUAACGAGGGCAUUUGUGACAUUUUACCUCUUGAUGUGUGAGCUGGUCUUUGUUUUUGUCACUUUCUCAAAUAAUAAAGUAUGUGUUCUAUGGACUUAAUUAUUAUAACUUAUUUUGCCAUUUUCGCAAGUGUCCCUUAAUUGUAAUACAUGUAUAUGUGACAUAAUCUAAUCAAACUAACUCAUAAAUGGACUUAAUCGAUCUCAUGGACCACGAAUUCUUCAAUUACUUGCAAAUUUGGUGAGUUCCUUCAAACAGUGGGCGAAGAGCUUAAUUUUGAGAGAGAGGAAAAGUCGUGAAGAGUAUAUGCGAGAGAGGGGGAACGUGCCAGAGAGCAUUUGCGAGAGAGCUAAAGACAGCGACGAUGUGGGAUGAAGUAAGGUUUUUUUCGGUCGUUGUUCACAGUGGGAUGAAAGCUUCGAAUUAUUUGUUUUAAAUCAAAAGGCGUAAUGAUUGAAGGAAAACAUUUAUUUUUUAUUAGGGUAAUUUUUAAUGACACAUAAUUUAUGUCAUUAAUUAACAAUGCGAAAAUUUUGUCAAGAAAACUCAAUUUGUGUCACGAAAAAUUUUGUAUUUUUAUUUUUAACGACACAUUUUAUUCCCUCAUGUCCCUUUUUCUUGAUUUCAAGUGUCAUUAAAACUUAUUGUUGAAUAAGAAAUUUUGAGACCAAUCACAAGUUGCCACAUCAUUUAUUAAGUUAAUGAUGAAAAGUACAAAUAAUUAAAUUUGGGACUAAUUAAAAUUGACAUAUGCUCCAAAUUAAAGAGUUGAAAAUAAAUAAAAUGGUCAUUCUAAUAAUGCCACAUGUUUUCAUAUUAAUAGUUGGAUUAAGUUAAUCAUUUUAGUUCAAUUAAAUAUUAUUUACUUGGACUAAGUUCAAUUAAGCCCAAAAAAUAAGCUUAAUUGAGCCCAAAGACUAAAUAUAACCUAAGUCCAUAUGGUUGAGCCCAUGCGUCUGGUCCAUGGACCAACUAGGUUCAAACCCAUAAAGCCCACCAGUGAACUCUAUAAAUAGAGGAAUUCUCCUCAUUUGUAGGGGUUGGAAAAUAUUGACUCUAGAAGAUCCAGAGAGAAUUCUUCAAAGAGCUAGAAGACUCCCUAACUCCUGAAGUUGACCAUCCUCGAAGAUUGAAGCUUCUUUAAAGAUACAAGCUUUCUUCCAAGGCUUCAACUUCAAGAACAUCACGUGCUUCGCUUCCUCCAAAUCAAGCUGAAGCAUCCAGUUGAGAGAGAAUCAGAGGAUCAAAUUCUAGAGAUUGAACCGCAUCGCAUCAAAUCAACAAAAAUACAACAUCAACUCAAGUUCAAGUCCACGAAUUAAAUUUCUCCAGAAAUCUCGUGCGAACAAAUUGGCACGCCCAGUGGGACCAUCUCUACCUCUCAUCUCUCUCUCAUCAUCUAGAUCUACAAGCAAAUCAAUGGCAUCAAAGAAAGUUGCAUCCAAAUCUUCAGCUGCAAGCGACACCUACACGGGACCUAUCACCUGUAGUCGUUCCAAGGGGAUCAUCCAAGGGCAAGACCAAGGUUCCGCCAUCGCGCAGAGCAUCCUGAAGCAAUUAAUGGAAUCUCCUAAAGCUGGAAUUGUCAUCAAGGAAAAUCCUCUAUAUAAUGAUUAUGAUUCUGCCUCUAGCAGGUCACUGAAAGAAGCACACCCAGAUGUGAUGUCCGUCAUGAUGGCUGAUGUAGCAGUCGAGACUGCCAUGGCGGAGAUGGAGAGAAAAUUAAUCUCCUGAUGAAGGUUGUUGAUGAACGAGACCACGAAAUUACAGCUUUAAAGGAGCAGAUGCAGACUCGUGAAACUCUGAAUCGAGUCAAACUUGUCGUUAAAGUUGAUGACAAAGGGAAGAACGUGGUACAAGAAAAUCAGCCACAACAACAAUCAACUUCUGUGGCUUCUCUCUCGGUUCAACAAUACAAGAUAUGAUCACAAACUCCAUCAGAGCACAAUAUGGAGGCCCAUCUCAGACUUCUUUCAUGUACUCUAAACCAUACACCAAAAGAAUCGACAACUUGAGAAUGCCGCUUGGAUAUCAGCCUCCAAAAUUCCAGCAGUUUGACGGAAAGGCAAUCCAAAACAGCACGUUGCUCACUUCGUCGAAACAUGUGAGAAUGCAGGAUCAAGAGGAGAUCAACUAGUCAGACAAUUUGUUCGAAGCUUGAAAGGAAAUGCUUUUGAAUGGUAUACUGAUCUGGAGCCAGAAAGCAUUGAGAGUUGGGAACAACUAGAAAAGGAGUUUCUCAAUCGCUUCUACAGCACCAGGCGUACUGUAAGCAUGAUGGAGCUUACAAAUACGAAACAAAGAAAGGGAGAACCAGUCAUCGACUACAUCAAUAGAUGGAGAGCUCUAAGUCUUGACUGUAAAGAUCGGCUCACCGAACUGUCGGCUGUAGAAAUGUGCACCCAAGGCAUGCACUGGGGACUCCUCUACAUUUUGCAGGGAAUAAAGCCCCGCACAUUUGAAGAACUGGCAACUCGAGCUCAUGAUAUGGAGUUGAGCAUCGCCAGUAGAGGAACUAAAGAUUUUCUUGUUCCUGAAGUAAAGAAAGAUAAGAAAGAGAUGAAAGGUGCUGAAAAGAUAGUGAAAAGCACCGCGAAAGAAUCUAUGGUCGUAAACACAACCCCGCUGAAAUUCUCCAAAGGAAAGGAAGCGAGGGUUGAAAAGAAGGAUGAUGGAAGCGAAAGGCGACGUCUGACUUUAAAAGAAAGGCAGGAAAAAGUUUACCCAUUUCCUGAUUCAGAUAUCGCUGACAUGCUAGAGCAACUACUAGAGAAGCAGCUGAUCCAGCUGCCAGAAUGUAAACGACCUGAGCAAGCAGGAAAGGUAGAUGAUCCCAAUUACUGCAAGUAUCAUCGGGUCAUCAGUCAUCCAGUAGAGAAAUGCUUCGUGCUGAAGGAGCUAAUUCUAAGGUUGGCUCGUGAGAAAAGGAUUGAGCUAGAUUUGGAGGAAGUAGCUCAAACAAACCACGCUGAAGUGACGAUAAUGUCUGAGGCUUCUUCGUCGAGAUUGAUUUUUGAGCAAAGGAAAAGCUUGGUCCAGUUCGGGACCUUUGAGCCUAUAGUUGUCCAAUUCUUUCAGGAAAUCUCAUACGAGGAUCCUCAAGGAGAGAAAAGACCAAUCGAAGAAGACGAUGAAGGGUGGAUAGUGGUGACCCACCGAAAGAAAAGACAGUCGAUCCCGACCCAAAGAGAGUCUCGCUCUUACCAAAACUAUAGAAGAGGAAAUAAGACUCAAAAGAAUAAGAAAAAGAAGAAGACUCAUAAGCUUAAGCUCGUACAUAAUGAAGACAUGAAUUUCUCUCGACCUCAACGCUUAGUGACCUUGCAGACUUCCUUCCAAAAAGCUUCCUUUGUGAUCAUCAGGAUGAAGACCCAGAAGUCGUUGCGUGUCAUGCUAUCAACACAACGGAGGAAGAAAUAAUCCCUCCAAGAUCACUAGAAGGAGAGGGAGUAUCAAAAGACCUUUCAAGGUUUAAUGUAGAGGAUCUAUUAUCACUUCCUCAAGAGACCAAAACCAUCCUUAUUGAUGCAUUGCUAAAUUCAAGAGCAUCAAGUUCGAGUACUCCGACUAUGACAUAUGAGAGUGGUUCUUAUUGUAUGUCUAUAGACUUCUCAGAUGAGGAUUUGUUGUUGGGAUCUAAACUUCAUAAUAGACCUUUGUAUGUUUCUGGAUACGUUCGAGAACAGAGAGUCGAUCGAAUCCUCAUUGAUAAUGGCUCAGCUGUCAACAUAAUGCCAAAGUCGACUAUGUGGCAAUUAGGCAUCUUGAUGGACGAGCUCUCAAAUAGCAAGCUAGUAAUUCAAGGUUUUAACCAAGGUAGCCAAAGAGCAAUAGGCAUGAUACGGUUAGAACUCAUAAUUGGCGACCUAAAGGCCAGUGCAUUGUUUCAUGUCAUAGACUCAAGGACUACUUACAAGUUGUUACUAGGGCGUCCUUGGAUUCAUGGAAACGGAGUAGUAACUUCAACACUGCAUCAGUGCUUCAAAUUUUAUCAGGACGGUGUAAAGAAGGUUGAAGCCGACUCUAAUCCAUUCUCAGAAGCUGAGUCUCACUUCGCAGAUGCAAAGUUUUAUUCAAAGAAUAAUAAUAUUUUAGAAGUUUUGCCUGCAGAAACCCCUCUUACAAAAGGAGAAGAUAAUUCACAACUGAAAUCACUCGCAACCACAGAACCACAUGAAAGUGCGAGAACCUUUAACUCUGGAAAGGGUGAAGCAUACACUAGCAGCACAAAGGGUAUGAUCUUGAAGGAUGAAAAUGCUGCAAACACACCAGUUUUGCGUUAUGUCCCUCUGUCAAGGCGCAAGAAAGGCGAAUCACCAUUCAUGGAGUCUCCAAAAGGUUUGAAAGUUGGUGACAUCGAAAUCAUAAAAGAAAGCUUCACUACACCACUAACUAAGAUAGCGAAGCAGGAGGUAAAGGUAGAUCUGGUGGAAGCAAACUUGCCCCAAAGGCGAACGAAAGACGGAUUCGACCCCAAGGCUUACAAAUUGAUGGCGAAAGCAGGUUAUGACUUCACAGCUCACACCGAGUUUAAAAGCUUGGAAAUUCAUGACCGACCUGAGCUCUCCUCAACUCAAAAGAAGCUUCUACGGAAGGACAUUCUAUACCCGUGUCGAGAAAAGGACUCGGAUACAAGUCGCCAGAACCGAUCCGUAUAACUAAAAAGGGAAGGAAAAAGUGGUUGACAUCAAUCAUAUAACUAUAGAGGAUGACAAUACUGACGUAAAAGAAGGUGAUAAUCAGAGAAUCUCAGUAUUUGAUCGAAUUAGACCAUCUGUUGCACGUCCCGUAGUAUUUGAAAGGCUAAGCAUGACAGAGGCAGAAAGAGAAAGGCUCCAGUCAGUACCAAACCUUGAGAGACAUUCGGUCUUUCGAAGGCUAACUACGACUCCCAUAAAGGAAGAAAGCACAUGCCAUGCCUUGACAACUACAAGACCAUCAGCCUUUGAAAGGCUAGGUGUGUCUAAAAAAAAAAUGUACAAGCACCCCGUGCUCCGAUUUUUAAUCAUCUCGGGGAUAAAGGAUCACACGACAACAUUGAUUCCAACAUAGCAAAGAAGAAGGAACCAAUGUCUCGUGUGAAAGUUUGGCGUCGAAUUAAGCAUACAGAUGUCGAUAAUUAUCGUAGUAAGAAGUUUCCUUGCGAGACAAAGGAAAAUGGAGAAAUUCAUAGCAACGUUCCUUCUCGCAUGAAAAGAAAAACUUUUGUUACUCUCAAUACAAGUCAAGGUUCGUUAAAGGUAAAAAGACAUGAUGUUAUACUAACGAAUCCUGAAAAAGAAGGGUCGGAACAAGGGGAAGGUGAAACUUCAUGUCAUCACAUCACCAUUAUUGAGGAAUCAGAGACUGGAACUCAUGAAGAAGACGCAGAAAAUGCCCCACAAAGUUUAGAGGAUGGUGGUCAAUCUACUGUAGACGAGCUAAAAGAGGUGAACCUUGGUACAAUAGAGGAACCACGUCCGACUUUCAUUAGUGCGUCCCUCUCUAACGAAGAGGUGGAUAAAUAUAUGAGUUUGCUCACCGAAUACAGGGACAUCUUUGCGUGGUCGUACAAGGAGAUGCCAGGACUUGACCCAAAAGUAGCAGUCCAUCAUCUUGCAAUUAAACCGGAUAUCGACCGAUUAAACAAGCACAACGACGUUUUCGACCGGAGCUUAUCCCUCAAAUCGAGGUGGAAGUCAACAAGUUGAUCGAAGCAGGAUUCAUUCGCGAGGUCAAAUAUCCAACGUGGAUAGCAAACAUUGUCCCUGUUAGAAAAAAAAAUGGACAACUUCGCGUUUGUGUAGACUUUCGCGAUCUGAAUAAUGCAUGCCCUAAAGAUGAUUUUCCCUUGCCCAUCACCGAAAUCAUGGUUGAUGCAACUACUGGACACGAGGCGUUGUCGUUUAUGGAUGGGUCGUCUGGAUAUAAUCAAAUACGGAUGGCCCUCUCAGAUGAAGAAAUGACAGCUUUCAGAACUCCAAAGGGAAUAUACUGUUACAAGGUGAUGCCCUUUGGAUUGAAAAAUGCCGCGCUACUUAUCAACGUGCCAUGCAGAAAGUGUUUGAUGAUAUGUUGCACAGGUAUGUUGAAUGUUAUGUUGAUGAUCUUGUAGUCAAAACAAAGAGACGACAAGACCAUUUGAAGGAUCUAAAAGUCGUGUUUGAUCGCUUGCGAAAAUAUCAGCUAAGGAUGAACCCUCUCAAGUGUGCGUUUGGUGUAACUUCAGGAAAAUUUCUUGGCUUCAUUGUAAGGCAUCGAGGGAUCGAAAAUAGACCAGUCCAAGAUUGAUGCCAUUCAGAAGAUGUCAAGACCUAAAAGUUUGCAUGACCUAAGAAGUCUCCAAGGACGACUGGCUUACAUCCGAAGGUUCAUCUCUAACUUGGCCGGUCGGUGUCAACCUUUUCAAAAGUUGAUGAGAAAAGGAGAAAAUUUUGUGUGGGAUGAAGCUUGUCAGAACGCUUUUGAUAGCAUAAAGAAAUACUUGCUUACUCCCCCAGUGCUGGGAGCUCCAGUACCUGACAAACCACUAAUAUUGUACAUUGCUGCACAAGAAAGGUCCUUAGGAGCAUUACUGGCACAAGAAGAGGUAAAGGGAAAGGAGCGUUCUCUCUACUAUCUAAGCAGAACAUUAAUUGGGGCUGAAGUUAACUAUUCUCCUAUCGAAAAGAUGUGUCUUGCACUUUUCUUUGCCAUUGAUAAGUUGAGGCAUUAUAUGCAGGCCUUCACGGUUCAUCUAGUGGCAAAAGCAGACCCUAUAAAGUAUGUUCUAUCCAGGCCAAUCAUCGCUGGACGCUUAGCCAAAUGGGCGGUUCUACUCCAACAAUAUGACAUUGUCUAUAUUCCCCAAAAGGCGAUAAAAGGACAAGCGCUAGCAGACUUUUUAGCAGACCACCCAAUUCCUUCGGAUUGGAAGUUAUGUGAUGACCUACCAGACGAUGAGGUUUUCUUCACAGAAGUUAUGGAACCUUGGACUAUGUACUUCGAUGGUGCAGCUCGAAGAAGUGGUGCGGGGGCAGGCAUUGUCCUCAUUUCUCCUGAGAAGCAUAUGUUGCCUUAUAGCUUUGCACUUUCCGAAUUGUGUUCAAACAAUGUGGCUGAAUAUCAGGCUUUGAUAAUUGGCCUUCAAAUAGCAUUAGAAAUCGGAGUGUCAUUCAUAGAGGUCUAUGGUGAUUCAAAAUUGAUAAUCAAUCAACUCUCGCUUCAAUAUGACGUGAAACAUGAAGACUUGAAGCCAUAUUUUGCUUAUGCUCGACAAUUGAUGGAAAAGUUUGAUAAUGUGAUGUUAGAACAUGUCCCUAGAGUAGAAAAUAAGAGAGCGGAUGCAUUGGCAAAUUUAGCCACGGCCUUGACCAUGCCAGAUGAUGUAACUCUGAACAUACCACUUUGUCAACGAUGGAUUAUACCCCCAGUUAGGCCUGAAUGUCAGGAAGUGAACAUGGCAACAUCCUAUUUGAUUGAUGAAGAAGAUUGGCGUCAACCCAUCAUAGAGUAUCUUGAACAUGGAAAGCUUCCAAAGGAUUCUCGUCAUAAAAUUGAGAUACGAAGAAGGGCAGCACACUUCAUUUAUUACAAGGGAACUUUAUAUCGCCGUUUUCUUGAAGGGCUCUUCCUUCGAUGUCUCGGAAAGGAAGAUUCGGUAAAAGCUCUAAAGGAAGUACAUGCAGGUGUUUGUGGAGCACAUCAAUCGGGACCAAAGCUUCAAUUCCAGCUAAGAAGAAUGGGCUACUACUGGCCUAAGAUGAUCCAAGAUUCAAUAGACUAUGUGAAGAAGUGUGAGCCUUGUCAAUACCAUGCAAACUUCAUACACCAACCUCCAGAACCUCUUCAUCCAACUGUGGCUUCUUGGCCUUUUGAGGCUUGGGGACUCGAUCUGGUUGGCCCCAUUACACCAAAAUCAUCAGCAGGACAUUCUUAUAUCCUAGCAGCAACAGACUAUUUUUCAAGGUGGGCUGAGGCCAUUUCAUUGAGAGAAGCCAAGAAGGAGAACGUGGCAGACUUUAUUCGAACACACAUCAUCUAUCGAUACGGUAUUCCACAUCGAAUCGUGACGGAUAAUGGAAAGCAAUUCUCCAAUAGUAUGAUGGACAAGUUAUGUGAAAAAUUCAAAUUCAAGCAAUAUAAGUCAUCCAUGUACAACGCAGCUGCGAAUGGACUAGCAGAAGCAUUCAACAAAACAUUGUGUAAUCUUUUAAAGAAAAUUGUCUCCAAGUCAAAGAGGGAUUGGCAAGAAAAGAUCGGCGAGGCAUUAUGGGCUUAUCGGACGACUCAUCGCACCCCUACAGGGGUUACACCAUAUUCGCUUAUUUACGGUGUGGAGGCUGUCCUUCCUCUCGAAAGGGAAAUUCCGUCACUAAGAAUGGCAGUACAAGAGGGAUUGACUACCGAAGAUAAUGUGAAGUUACGUCUUCAAGAAUUAGAAGCACUUGACGAAAAGCGAUUAGAGGCUCAGCAAGCAUUGGAAUGUUAUCAAGCGAGAAUGUCCAAAGCUUUUGAUAAACACGUUAAACCUCGCUCCUUUCAAGUCGGUGAUCUAGUACUUGCCGUAAGGAGACCGAUCAUCACAACAAGGCAUACAGGAAAUAAGUUCACACCUAAAUGGGAUGGACCUUACAUUGUUAAAGAAGUUUAUACAAAUGGCGCAUACAAGAUCGUUGAUCAAGACGGACUACGAAUUGGCCCAAUCAAUGGUAAAUUUCUUAAAAAAUUUAUGCUUAAUUUUGUUAGGUAAAAAAAAAAAAAAAAAAGUUGAACUACGUUAUGACUUGAUCCCUAUAUUAUAAAGGGUACGUAGGCAGCUUAAGGAAAACCUUAAGCCCAGUCCAGCAAAAAAAAAGUUGAACUACGUUAUGACUUGAUCCCUAUAUUAUAAAGGGUACGUAGGCAGCUUAAAGAAAACCUUAAGCCCAGUCCAGCAAAAAAAAAAAGUUGAACUAUGUUAUGACUUGAUCCCUAUAUUAUAAAAGGCAGCUUAAAGGAAACUUUAAGUUCAGUCCAAUAAAAAAAAAAGGAAGAAAGACAAAUUACAUUUAAUAGAAAAUAUGAUGAGGAGUGGAACAAUGAAAGAAUAAUUUUUUUUUUAUUAUUAUUAUAAACUUCUAGCAAAAAAAAAUUAAAAAGGCAUAAGUAGAUAAAUAAGAGAAAGCAGAGAAUCAUGGAGUCCAUUUAAAGUUCUUCAGCUCCUCUAGUGUGCUUUCUAAAGAUUCACGAAGUGUUGAUAGCAUUUUAGCAUCAAUAUCUCCAACGAUCGGGGCACAUUCGAGUUUGUCAAUUUCCUCACAAGUCUUCGAAAUCUCAUGUUGCUUCUGCUUCAGCUCCAGGUCGUUCUUAAAAAUUAUUCCAGAAAGUUUAGCAGACUCAACCCGCACCAUCUUUAGUUUUGCCUCUAGUUUAGCCUCCUUAGCGGACAGUCGUGUAAGACGACGUUUAGCAGUGUUGGUCUCUGCUAAUAUACGAUUCUCAUCAACUCGCAGAGUCUUCACAAAACCUUUUGCCUCCGUUAGCUGAACAUCCUUAGUUGAUUGGAGUGGAAAUGAGGAAUGUAUUUGAUUAUGGUUCUCGACACCUUGGAAGUAACCAUUCACAAGCUCCCUCAAAACAAUAAGGUUGUCGCUGCCGUUAGUCGCAAUCGCAUCAAAGAUCUUAUGCAUUUCUGGUUCAAGACUACUCAGUCGUUCAAAAGGGGUACGAAUGAUCUUCUGUCGUAGGUUUUCCCAUAAGGUUAUGGCAGCCUGUCGUCGGAGGUCAGAAAUUAAGCUGUCAGCACAAAAAUGAGAAAUCUCAGAAACUGUAAUAGGCUCUGUGCCUUCCACUUUUUGAGGAGGUCCCUUGAUCACAGGAGGACAAGCAGACACAAUAUUUGCGCCUAUAGGUUCCUUAGAGUUCCCAUUAUAAGAAAGUACAACGUUACAGUCUUCUAGAUUCAGCAUCAACUCUAGGGUAUCUUCGAUGUGUAGGUCAUGAUCACCUAAAGAAUACUACAAAAUAAUAUUAACAACAAGAAAUAAGGGGAGUAAAGGAGAGAAAAUACAAUCAAUAAAUAAAUAAAAUUGGGAGACGAAAAGAAACCAUGGGGGAAGGGACAUCGAAAAAUUGUGCAGCAUCAGGGACCCGAAUAGGAGACUCUUCAUCAUCGAUCGACUGUUUGUUAGGCUUCUUGGGUCUCUUCCAAUGGCGAUCAUCAUUGCUGCUUUGACUGUCCUCAAUACGUUUAGAAGGAUGCUUGGUAGCUAUCGAUAAGCGGUUGUCCUUACCCAUAUUGUCAAUACCACCUUUAAUAAGAUGUUUAAAUCGUGUAGAAAGAGACAAAUUAUCCACCAAGCGUUUUGUCCCUCCCUCAAUUUUCUCCACAAGUCGUUCAUCAGUUUCAUCGGAGCAUAUCUUCUGAUUUCCACUACCAAAAUUAUGUUCAAUCUUUUUUGUGGUUUUGGAUUUGAUGUGAGGGGGAGUAGGACGAUCUAUCAAAUGUUGUACUCCUUCUUGGAGGUAAUCACCGUGUUUUGCAAGCCACCAGACCUUAUAAUGAGAGGUAACAUGUGUGUCUGGAUUAGGGGCAGACACAGGAAGAUAUACUUGGGAAAGUGUAUUCUCGCGAAUACAAAUCAUCCAACAAUAUCGUACGUUAAAAAAAUUGGCUUCGGGAAUUUCUUCACCUAAGUCAUAUGGCACGUCUUGAUAAAAUCCAAAUGGUCGGCUAAAGCGACAAGGACUAUAAGGCUCAAUAACUGUGGAGGAUCCACAUUGCGAGGAUAGAAAACAAGAGCAAAUGCUUAUGAAAAAUGAAGCAUUCUAACUAAUUAACUCUCCAUCAUCCGUUAAGAGUUCGUCCUUAUUCUUUGUUGGAAGACACGCAUGCCAUGACACAUACUUUCCCUUGUGGAUAUGUGUUCGAGCCUCAAGAUUAGUAUAAUAUUUGGCCCCACCUUCACCAGAAAAUUCAACCAUGCGAGGACCCCUAAGACUCCUAGGGGCUUUAUAAUGAGUGUUGAAGUAAAGAGCAAGCCACCCAUGGACAUAGUGAAGAGGAAAACAGGCAUUUGAAUAACCAAGUGAUGAAGUAGAAUCAUGAACUUGGCGUAGGCCACUAUAAAUAUUAGCUAAAACAGGGACGGCAAGGCUAAAUGUGUAGCCUUCCGCCAUGAGGCUAGCAACCUUAAAAACCUCCGGACGAAGGGAAAGUUGCUUAUCAGGGAACACAAACACACAUAGCCAACAAGAGAGAAAUGCCGCUAGAUAGGUUUUGUCCCUAUGAUCAUCAGUGACGCUUAAGUCAAGGAACACUUUGAGUUCAGCUUUAGACCAGUCAGGACGUCUGAUGGGAAUUCCAUCUGGAUUAUGAGUUGAGCGAGGGCGAGAAGUCUUUUUAGGCUUUCGAGGAGGCGGUUUCGAAUACUUUACCUCAGAUCGUGUAACCCAAAAAGAGAUCCAUUCACUUACAGUGAUUUGAGAGUGAUCCAUGCGUUGAGAAACAAUGCGGUAAUAGGCUGCAAAUAAAUGCUCACAACUUCUUGGACAUACAUCAGGUGAUCCUAUUAAGUCUUGGUGGCAAGGAAUGCUUUCUUCAUAAAAUCUACCUUUAAUCGGGAGUCCUCCUAGUAUCCAUAAGUCCCAUAAGGAGAUGGACAUCUCACCAGCUGAGGUGUGAAGAGUGUUUGUUGAAGGACACCAUGCCUCGCAGAAAGCCCGAUCAAUGUCACUGUUGCGAUCAUAUGUAUAUAGGGAAGCCAUCACAGCAUUAAAUAGGGAGGCUCGCUUGAGUACUGCCGUAUUUCUAGCAACAACGAGCUCUAACCACUCCCAAUAAUGAGGAAGAUAGUAAAAUUCUCCAUGUACCUUGAGCACAUUUCCCCAACGAAUUUUUGGGUCGUUUAUAAUUCGACGACCCAACGUUGAUUCUGGAUCCUCAUUUGGAGGCUUGUUGUGAAUCGAAGACUCCAGAAACCAAGAUUUUAAAGAUGAAUUUGGAUUUACAAACCGUUCCUUGGACCAUUUAGGCAAAAAGAUAAAAUUGUCCUCGGGUAUUUGAGAGUCCAUAAUAUUCUCAUAUGUCCCCUCUCUCACAGGAAGAAUGAUCCCUUCCUCUAAAGAUUGAUCUACGUCCUUCAGGAUAAUUAAACACCUUUUGGUCGAGUCAGAAUACUCAGUGAAGUGCACCAUGAUGAAAAGAAGAGUUCCUGCAAAAUAAUAAUAAUAAUAAGAAGAAGAAGAAAUAGAAAAAAAAAAAAAAACCAAAACAAAAAAAAAAAAAAAAAAAAAAAAAAAAAAAAAAAAAAAAAAAAAAAAGAAAGAAGAAAAAAAAAAGAAAGAAAGAAGAAAAAAGGGGGGGGAAGAAAAAGCAAAUGGAGAUUGAAGCCCGACGAUGACAGAGUCGAUCUCUCCUACUAGGGCGAUAGAUCUGACGGCAAAAGCCCGAUCGUCCCUAGAAGAAGCUCAACAAAGUCAUUUCUGCAAACGAAGAUCGAAGCCCGACGAUGACAGAGUCGAUCUCUCCUACUAGGGCGAUAGAUCUGACGGCAAAAGCCCGAUCGUCCCUAGAAGAAGCUCAACAAAGUCAUUUCUGCAAACGAAGAUUGAAGCCCGACGAUGACAGAGUCGAUCUCUCCUACUAGGGCGAUAGAUCUGACGGCAAAAGCCCGAUCGUCCCUAGAAGAAGCUCAACAAAGUCAUUUCUGCAAACGAAGAUUGAAGCCCGACGAUGACAGAGUCGAUCUCUCUAACUAGGGCGAUAGAUCUGACGGCAAAAGCCCGAUCGUCCCUAGAAGAAGCUCAACAAAGUCAUUUCUGCAAACGAAGAUCGAAGCCCGACGAUGACAGAGUCGAUCUCUCCUACUAGGGCGAUAGAUCUGACGGCAAAAGCCCGAUCGUCCCUAGAAGAAGCUCAACAAAGUCAUUUCUGCAAACGAAGAUUGAAGCCCGACGAUGACAGAGUCGAUCUCUCCAACUAGGGCGAUAGAUCUGACGGCAAAAGCCCGAUCGUCCCUAGAAGAAGCUCAACAAAGUCAUUUCUGCAAACGAAGAUCGAGGCCCGACGAUGACAGAGUCGAUCUCUCCAACUAGGGCGAUAGAUCUGACGGCAAAAGCCCGAUCGUCCCUAGAAGAAGCUCGACAAAGUCAUUCCUGCAAAAAAAAAAAAAAACAAAAACAAAAACAAAACAACACAAAAAAAAAAAAAAAAAAACAAACAAAAAAACAAAACAAAAUAGAAUAAAAAAAAAAACACACACACACACAAAAAAAAGAGAAAAAAAAAAAAAGAGAAAGGGAGAAGAAAAGUUUUCUAUACCUUUCUGCCGAUUGGAUGAGGAAUAAGCGUUGGAUGAGGUAUAAGUGAGUAGGGUAUGAGUCUAUUUAUAAGCCCAACAAAUCCAGUUCCUAAAAGGAUUAGGAAUGAUAUUUAAUUAUUUUUUUUUAAAAAAAAAAACAAAUCCAAUUCCUAAAAGAAAUAGGAAUGAUUUUUAAAAAAUAUAUAUAUAUAAAGAAAAGAUAAUCCAAUUAUCUUAUUUUUAUUUUAAAUUAUUUCUUUUUUUUUUUGGAUAAAUCUCAAGUUUAACUUUUAUUGAGAUAUUUAAAAUAUUUAAAAAUGUUGAAAUUUUUAAAUAUUUUAAAUAUAUAUAUAUAUAUAUAUUCUCAAUUCCAAAAUUCAAGUUAAAUUAACUUGCAUAUAUGAUCUCCUUUUUAUCAUGAAUUUAAAUCGGAGCCAUAAAUCCAACUUUACCUAAGAUUGAGGACCUGAUUUUUUUUUGUCAUUCCAAAUUCUUAUGCAUCCCCAAGAUAAAUUAAGGUACGGUAGAAACCUUAUCCUUAUUUCAAAAUUAAAAUUUUGGUUAUAUUCCAAAUUUUACUUAAAAAAAAGUCAUCAUAUUAAUUUUUUUUUUUCCCUCAAAUAAAAUUAAGUGGGAAAUAAAACUUUGAAUUUUUUUUAAGGUUUGGCCAUAUUCCAACCCUUAUUUUAAAUUUAAAUCAAACUCACGUACUAAAUUCAUGGUUUGAUUAAUUUGAUAUGUUGAAUUGAGUAAAAAAAAAAAAAGGGCUCGUACUUUGACUUCAAAUUUAUCUUUUCCGAGAUUCAUUCACCCAUAUACGUGCAUAAAUCUCGAAAAGGGGGCAUUUGUUGAAUAAGAAAUUUUGAGACCAAUCACAAGUUGCCACAUCAUUUAUUAAGUUAAUGAUGAAAAGUACAAAUAAUUAAAUUUGGGACUAAUUAAAAUUGACACAUGCUCCAAAUUAAAGAGUUAAAAUAAAUAAAUUGGUCAUUCUAAGAAUGCCACAUGUUUUCAUAUUAAUCGUUGGAUUAAGUUAAUCAUUUUAGUUCAAUUAAAUAUUAUUUACUUGGACUAAGUUCAAUUAAGCCAAAAAAAAUAAGCUUAAUUGAGCCCAAAGACUAAAUAUAACCUAAGUCCAUAUGGUUGAGCCCAUGGGUCUGGUCCAUGGACCAACCAAGUUCAAACCCAUAAAGCCCACCAGUGAACUCUAUAAAUAGAGAAAUUCUCCUCAUUUGUAGGGGUUGGAAAAUUUUGACUCUAGAAGAUCUAAAGAGAAUUCUUCCAAGAGCUAGAAGACUCCCUAACUUCUGAAGUUGACCACCCUCGAAGAUUAAAGCUGUUUUGAAGAUACAAACUUUCUUCCAAGACUCCAACUUCAAGAACAUCACGUGCUCCGCUUCCUCAAAUCAAGCGUAAGCAUUCAACCAACUUCAAGAACAUCACGUGCUCCGCUUCCUCAAAUCAAGCGUAAGCAUUCAACCAACUUGAAGAACAUCACGUGCUCCGCUUCUCCAAAUCAAGCGUAGACGUUCAACAAACUUCAAGAACAUCACGUGCUCCGCUUCCUCCAAAUCAAGCGUAGACAUACAGUUGAGAGAGAAUCAGAGGAUCAAAUUCUAGAGAUUGAACCGCAUCGCAUCAAAUCAACAAAAAUACAACAUCAACCCAAGUUUAAGUCCACGAAUUAAAUUUCUCCGGAAAUCUCGUGCGAACAAGCUCAUAACACAUUUUUUUUGCAUAUUGCAAAAUUGACAAAUAUGACGGUAAUUAGAUGGUAAUCUGACGGUAAUCUGCUUUUAAAUUUGCAAUUUUAAAAAUGUAAGUGAUAUAAACUCUAUUAUCAUAAUUUUUUUUUUAUAUUUUUGCAAACUCUCCAUUAUUUUAUUCAAAUAAAAUAAAUUUUAACCUAAUUGGCUUUGCAAAUUAUGUAUAUUUAUCUAACCCAUACAAAGCGAGUGACAAGGGAUGAAAUGUAUGUAUAAUAUGUAAGUAGUAAAGUCGUUUAAAGAACAAUUAUGCAGCAAUAUAUGCUAAUUAUUAUAUGAAAAAUGGAACAUUAGUUGCAAGUGAAAACAAUUAGAAAAAGGGUAGGAACUUACCAAUUCACUUUGACAAAAGAUUGUUAGACAAACUAAGAAAGCAUUAAAAGAUCAAGCAACAAAUUUCAAGAAUCUUGUUCUGACAAGUAAUAAGUGGAUUUUAAGUUGUUCCAAUUCAAGACAAUGUGAUAUGUGAAAAAAAUUACUCAAUUAAUAAAAAGUGAAGAUAAGAGUAAUUAGGCAUUUGAGGGUUUUCUUCAUCGUUCCAAAAAUAAAAGGUAAAGUAAUGAUUUAAGGGAUUUCAUGAGCUGUUGGUCAAAUUAAUUUUGGAUCAAAUUGCUUGAAUUCCAAAGUUAAUUUGUUCAAGAUUCACACGUUAUUACACACCACAAAUCAAACAAAUAUGCACAACAGAAAUUGGUUCAAUCACACAUCAUUUGUUCAACAAAAAAUGAGGGUGUGAAUCUUUAUUUCAAGAACUAGCAAAAUAAGAGAUUGCCAAUUACAAUGCUAAAGAAAUGAUGUUAGAAUUAAAAGAUCAUCAAUCUACCAUGUUUACUUUAAAUUCACAAAAAAAAAAAAACGCAUAUUACAUAUUUGGAAAUUGAAGACAAAUUGAGUUCAAAGAAAUUAAAUUAGCCAAGAGAAAAGAUACUAUUGAACACAAUUUGUACAGAAAUUUAAAGUAAAUCUACCAACCUCAAUCAAAACUACAAACAAGAAUCAUCACAUAAUCAAGAAUUAUUCAAGAACUCAACAAUUCUCAACUUUAUUUCUUAAAAUGAGUACAUUGCAUACAAAGCAAAAUAUUGCUUGAAUUAAUCAAGAAUCAUUACUAUACAAGAAGAAAUGAAUUACAACAAUUAUGCAAGAAAGCAAAAGUAGUAAUUCUCCAAGAAAAAAAAGCAAAAGUUACACAAAUUCUUACAAAAAAAAAAAAAAAGAAAAAAAAAGAAGUAAAAUCUUCUCAAGAAAAUUCAACACUAAUUACUCUUUACUGGUGAUGAUUACGACUCCUUGUAUGAUCAAAAUUCUACUAGAAAUUUUGUGAGAAAAAGUGGAAGAAUGGAAAGGAAAGAGUUAUGAAAAAAUGAAAGGGUAUUGAAACAAUGAAAUUUAGAGAGGAUUUGAGUGAAAAUUAGAGUUGAAUUGUUGAAUUGAUGAGGCAAGAAAUUUUGACCAAUUAAAUUAUGUCACAUCAUAGUAAAGAUGAUCCAAUAAACAAAUGGGCUCAAGUCCAAUUUCAAGAAGUAGAUGGACCCAAGUCCAAGUCCAAGCCCAAUUCACAAAUGGGUUCAAGUCCAAGUCCAACAAGCAAAUGGACCGAAGUCCAAACCCACCAAGCAAAUGAGUCCAAGCCCAGUUCAAGCCUAUAAAAUUUCUCUAUAAAUAGAGAUCAUUGCUAUUCAUUUUAGGAGUCCUUAGUUGAAAGAAGAAUUGAAGUUUUGAAUAAUUAAAGAUUCAAACUUCUACAAGCUCUCAAGACGUGCAAGUUCAUAUCAACCUUGACACUACUAGAAAAGUGGUAUACGACGUCAGUUAUUUACUGUCGUAAAUGAAAUUCGCGACAGUUAUUUUUCAGUCAUAGAAUCGGGAGUCAUGUAAAGUCCUUCGAAACCUUGACACUACUAGAAAAGUGGUAUACGACGUCAGUUAUUUACUGUCGUAAAUGAAAUUCGCGACAGUUAUUUUUCAGUCAUAGAAUCGGGAGUCAUGUAAAGUCCUUCGAUGACAGUUUUUAAAAACUGUCGUAAUAAGUUAUUUUAUGACAUGAAAUAAAUGUCGUUAAUCAGAAUUCAACGACGUCAAAUAACUGUCAUAUUUUAUUUUAUGACAACAAAUAACUAUCAUCAUUUGCGUAUUAACGACGGUUAAAUAAUUGUCAUGAAUAUGUUAAUCGCGACAGUUUUUUUGUAUAAAAAUGUCAUUGUUUUGCUAUUGACGACAUUUUUUUCUAAUCACAUAUAAGACAAUCGUGACAAUUUAUUUUAUUAAACAACUGUCAUCGUUUUCGGAUUGACAACAAUUAAUAACUGUCACAAAUUCAUUUAUUACGUCAUUUAUUUUCUGUUGCAAAUUUCUCAAUUUACUACAGUUUUUUCCUGUUCUCCUUGCCGCUCCACCAUUACACGAACCAUUUGAAUGACAAUAAUGUAGCUGAGAAUGACAAUUUUGAAUUUAUAAUAUUGACACCCAUAUACAAAAAAAGUAACCAACACUUUAAUAUAUAUACGAUAUAAUACAAUUUAUAAUAUUCGUACAUUUCCAAUCAAGUGUCAACAAUUUACAAGUACGGAAUCCCAACCCUUAAUCAAAAAAUAUUUUAAAUAGUAUUAGAAUACAUCUAACAAGAUUUUCUGCAGAAGCAUAAACGACCAACCGAGAAUGUUCGUCUCUGAAAAUGUUCUUUGAAAGAAAACUCAAGAAGUUGUCGAAUCCGAUUGAACCUACAAAGACAACAUGAAUAUAAGCAUCCAUAACACAUACAUUUGUGAACCAACAUUACCACAACAAAGAAGAAAAUGGAGGACUACCAUGUAGUAAUGUGAAUGUAAAAGAAACAUUAUAUAUAUUAUGAAUCUUGUUUCUAAUCAAGAACUUAUUUCCUAACCAUGUACUUGAUGAGCGUUUGUAGAAUUUAAUAUCAGCAACCAAACCUCAACCCUAUCUAGUGCUUUAUGCACACAUACACACACACUUGAACUCUCUAUAUUUCUCUCUUUUUGUCUCCAUGAAUAAUGAGAAGCCAAUACAAACAGAUGAAUUCUUUGUUUGGUUCUCUUUCUCUAUCUCGAUGUUGGGGAAAAGCUAAAUAUUUGAGGCAUUGAUUUCAGGAAUUGGUGCAAGGAAUUGGUGCAAGGGUUUGAUCAGGAGGCUGCUGCAGUUGUUUUGGUUGCUGAUAUUAAAUUCUAAAAAUGCUCAUCAAGUACAUGGUUAGGAAAUAAGUUCUUGAUUAGAAACAAGAUUCAUAAUAUAUAUAAUGUUUCUUUUACAUUCACAUUACUACAUGGUAGUCCUCCAUUUUCUUCUUUGUUGUGGUAAUGUUGGUUCACAAAUGUAUGUGUUAUGGAUGCCUAUAUUCAUGUUGUCUUUGUAGGUUCAGCCGGAGUCGACAACUUCAUGAGUUUUCUUUCAAAGAACAUUUUCAGAGACGAACAUUCUCGGUUGGUCGUUUAUGCUUUUGCAGAAAAUCUUGUUAGAUGUAUUCUAAUGCUAUUUAAAAUAUUUUUUGAUUAAGGGUUGGGAUUCCGUACUUGUAAAUUGUUGACACUUGAUUGGAAAUGUACGAAUAUUAUAAAUUGUAUUAUAUCGUAUAUAUAUUAAAGUGUUGGUUACUUUUUUUGUAUAUGGGUGUCAAUAUUAUAAAUUCAAAAUUGUCAUUCUCAGCUACAUUAUUGUCAUUCAAAUGGUUCGUGUAAUGGUGGAGCGGCAAGGAGAACAGGAAAAAACUGUAGUAAAUUGAGAAAUUUGCAACAGAAAAUAAAUGACGUAAUAAAUGAAUUUGUGACAGUUAUUAAUUGUUGUCAAUCUGAAAACGAUGACAAUUGUUUAAUAAAAUAAAUUGUCACGAUUGCCCUAUAUGUGACAGGAAAAAAAUGUCGUCAAUAGCAAAACAAUGACAUUUUUAUAUAGAAAAACUGUCCCGAUUAACAUAUUCAUGACAAUUAAAAAAUGUCACAAUAAAUGAAUUCACGACAUUUAUUUAACCGUCGUUAAUACACAAAUGAUGAUAGUUAUUUGUUGUCAUAAAAUAAAAUAUGACAGUUAUUUGACGUCGUUGAAUUCUGAUUAACGACAUUUAUUUCAUGUCAUAAAAUAACUUAUUGCGACAGUUUUUAAAAACUGUCAUCGAAGGACUUUCCAUGACUCCCGCUUCUAUGACUGAAAAUAACUGUCGCGAAUUUCGUUUACGACAGUAAAUAACUGUCGUCGUAGACCACUUUUCUACUAGUGAAAUUAAACACUGAAAUAAAAAUUUCAAAGAUAUUCAAAGACAAACAAACCAUUGUGUUUUUUUUUUUUUUUCUUGUGACUCUCAUAAAAUCCAUAGAUAUUCACAAACCAAUUUGAACAAACCCUAAAGAGAACUAUGUACAUAAAAGACAUGUCUCUAGAAACAAAAGCUAACGACAAACUACUGUUCAACUUACUUUUCAUGGUUUAUAAACUUUAAGAAAGAUUAAAAAAAUAUAACAAGAUAUAUAUAUACACACACCUUAUAUAGGACAUUAUGCAAUGGGACAAUGAAGAAUAAGUUCAAUAAACUUUAAUGUACCCAAAUCUACCAUAAACUUGAGUUCACUCAAAACCUUUAAGAAAAGCAAAAGAAAAUGGACAAAUAGAAAUAUAAUCAAGCAAACAUAAUCAUUUUGUUAGGUACAUGCAAGAUAAACUAUUUCACACCAACAUAUAUAAUCAGUAUACAAAUGAAAUCUUUGAGUUUCACAAGCUAAACUCAAUUUAAACUUUGUACUAACAAGUCCAAACAAUUUUCAUUGUAAUUCAAUAGUUAAAAACGUACCUUGGAGUCCUUCCAACCAUAUCAAAAAAACAUAUAAGUCUAACACUUUAACAAAUUUCUAGUGCAUAUUAUGCAUCUCAAUUGAUCACAACAAAAUAAGAUUGAACAUAAAUACUCAUAAGUAAUACUUUUUCAAUGUUGCAUUUUCAUAAAAAAUCAACAAGCAUUGUCAUUUUCGUAAAGCUCUUAAUCCCCCCUCCCCCAAUUUCCAACACUAAUGUUGGAAAUGAACAACAAGAUCUUUCAAAGUAAGGAAAGAACUACUAUGGAGAUUUUGGAUGAUAUUAAUUCAAGCAAACGUUGAUAUACUACUAAUAUACCAUACUAAUUAGAUUAAAACACUUUCAAUGAGACUAGAAUUAUACAAAAUAUACUUUAAACCACAAUAGUUGAAUAUGUAUUUUGGUAGGGAGGUAGACAUUAAUUACUUGAACAAAUAAUGACAACGUCCUUGAAGUAAGAGAACUUUCUGCUAAUCCUCAAUUCAAUCAAUUAUUCAAAAUGUCAUAAGGUAGUCAUAGGAAGAAAAUAUAGUUUAAAAACGCUGAUAAAAAGUAGAGGUAAAAAAAGUGUAUAGGCUUAAGUUUCAAAAACUUAAAGCCAAAAACCAAAUAGAUAACAUACAGAAAUUCUCUUGGAAAGUGUAUAAGCUUAAGUUGCAACAUACACAUUCAUACAUUUCCAAUGUGUAUAACAUACAUCGCGGUUUAUGUUUCAAGCAGAGGGUGUAUUUCAACAUUUUCAAAUUUACUCCUCUUAGAAAGAUCUAGUAUGGUAAGUGGCAAAUAAAAUUCUACCAUACAAAAUAAAUCUUAAUUCACCAUCAUUUUUUGUCUUUCCUUUCAAUAUAGAACAUGUAGUAAAUUUUGUUGCUACUAUCCUUAUUGUAAGAAAGGGAGAGAGAACAUACCUAUAAUUAUCAAUAAUCAUGUAACGACCCGAACUUUUCUAACUAUGUCAAAAUCGUUAAUUUUGACAAAAGACCGAGUUUAAUUAAAAUUUAAAACCUCAAAAGAACAAAAUUUAUUUUGUUUGUUUGGGCCCCAGUUUUAAAUUACUAAAAUUCAUAUGAAAAUUUAAAACUAAAAAGUUUCAAAUCUUUGAAUACUUUAAAACCUCAAAAUUUUCUAAACAGUCUCACGUUCGAAUACAAAUAAUACUAUAAAUCACUAAGCGGAAGCAAAAUUUUGAAGUGUCCCCUGUGGCGGUCACGCUUCCUUCCUACCCCUCGCCGGUUUGCCGCCUUUAUUACCUUGCCUGAAAAAUUAGACAUAAGGAGGAAGAGACCCUCUACUGGUUCCGUCAGGGGAAAAUAAAUUGUUAACAUUCUAUUGGGACACCCUAUAGAGUCGCAGUCUUGUGAUCCCGUAGGAUGCACAUUUCAGUCUAACGCCCCGAGGGACAUACAUUUCAGUCUAGUGUUAUGCAGAAACACAUAUCAGUCUAAUGCUCCCGAAGGUCGCAUAAAAAUUGGUGAUCCAGUAGGACACCUACAAGGCAUACAUCCCAAUAAAACUAACAAUUAUUCCCCUCAAUCCAUUCUAACCAUCUUUACGGUUAUUUAUGACAUCUUUCAGUUACUUCAAAAUAUAAAGUUCUUUCACUCAACAUUCUAAACCACAAAGUCACAACACCCCUCAUUUUUACCAACGCAAACCACAUUUCAGUAUAAUCCACAUCCAACCGAAACAAAUUCACUAGUUCACAUCCCAAAUAUCUUUAUACAGCACAAUCUAUUAAUAUCAUCAUGUACACAUAAAGCAUAAUUUCAGUCAUUCACAUGUAUACUUUCGGCAAUCCACAUCAAUUCACACAUCAAUGUAUAUAUAUAUGUUUCCAGUCAAAUACAACAUAUACUAAACAUUUAGUAUGCAACCAAACGUGUACAUCUUAAUCAUCAUCCAUACAGUCCAACACAACUCAAAAACGUUAGAUGAUUAGAUGAGUCCAGUAGAAAGUCCCUUACCUCAAGGUAACUCAAUUUCUCGAACAAACUAUAUCCAACGAAAGACACCAAGGUAUUAGCGAACCGAACUCUAACAAUUUACAAGUUGGUUGUGAAUUCAAGGGACUCAAAGUUACUUCCAACACCUUCAAGAACAAUAUUAACCAAACGUUUAAUUUGAUAUUUCAUCUUAUGCAGAAACCAUCCAUUUCACUUAUCUAAACGACAAAGAUCGUACAAACAUAUUAGAGUGUACAUCGGUUUGUGAAUCGCGUCUAGAAGAAGAAGCACGAUGCUGCCUUACUGUCCGCCGACGAACAGACGCGGUGGUGCAGAUGGUUGACGAAAGCGGAACAAAACCCUCAGUUGGAAUAUGGAAAGUCGUGGCGGUGUGGUACGGUUGCGAACGUCACGACGGCACAAAACGUGAGGCAGAAGACUUGUGCAAGCUGAGCAACGCGGAUUUUCAAGCAGUGCGACUAGCAGAAGAUGACGGACAAUGUGAUGAAGUGGCUCGAGUGGUUGCGGAUCUGGACAGCCGGGAGGCGCUGACGAACCGCGACGAGCAGUUGGGGGUUUGGGUAACGGCGGCGCCAGAAAAAUGAAGGAGAAGGGAGAGAGGAGAUGUUCGACGGCUGGAGGAAGCAGUGGGAUGCAGCACGAACAGAAACAGUACGCGACGACUUUGUAACCUGAACGGACGACGACUUCAGGCAAAUAGUGCAGCGGCGAGGGCGGGAUGAGAAGAUUUGGGCGGUGAUGGUGGUUGGCGGACGAGCGAAAAGGAGAGGGGAGAUGUGAGGCGACUGGGUAGGGAGAGAAAUAGGAGAAGAUGAAGAAGAAAAGGGGGAUCGUGCGUGGGAGAAGAAGAAAAGGAAAUUGUUUUUCUUUUAUUUAUUAUUAUUUUUUUUUAAAAAAAUAUAUAUAUUAU